AACAUGGGGAUAGUUCAGGUGGCCAGAAGCUGAGAGAUACGCGGCGGCGGCUGCGUGUCGGAACAACUCGGCCUGGCGCGUCUCUGCAGGGCACGUUCCUUCGGGGCCGCUUCUCCCCGCCAGGCUCCAUGAUUUGUCUCCCUAGUAUGUCACUACUCUCAUAGAAGCUAUACUUUGACUCUUAAACUGAUGCUCUGCAGAUCUGCUUAUUAUAUCUGCUGAAACAGAGGGCCUGAUCCACACUCUACAAAUGCUUCAGCAGCUACUGUGUACUUUAAACAAACAGCAGGGAGAGAAAUCUAGAAAUGAUGCAGAAAUAGAGAGAGAAAUUGAAUAACUCAAGGAAACUGACUAGGAAGCCAGAAUGACUGCAGGAUCUACCAGAGUUAGGCGACUCCUGCAAAACUUGGAAACCCUUCAUGCACUUUGAGCUGAUGGUUGGGUAGAAGCCAAGAACCAACACUAAAAAAUGGUAUUGCUGAAAUCACCAGAUGGUGGAUGGGGCUGGGUGAUUGUCCUUGUUUCCUUCUUUACUCAGUUCUUCUGUUACGGGUCUCCAUUAGCAGUUGGAGUCUUGUAUCUGGAAUGGUUGGAUACUUUUGGAGAAGGAAAAGGAAAGACUGCUUGGGUUGGAUCCCUUGCAAGUGGAGUCGGAUUGCUUGCCAGUAAGUCUAGAAGCAAUAUGUGUUUAUAAAUUACAUGCUUUUCACAUUUUAUAUAGAUUUAACAGCUAUUAAUACUUUUAAAAUGCACUAAAUGAUGAAUUUAAGAAUGGAUUCUACAAAGGAUUUCCAUACUGUAUUUUGUUUUAAUCCAAGCUGGUUAAUGGCAUAUUCGUAGCAACAUUGUUGUACACUAAAAAAAAAAAUGCAAAAAUCUUACAAUGCCAGUUUAACAAAAAGCUUGCCAUUAAUAAAGUUAUCCUAAGGAUAAACACAAAAUAACUUAGUUUAGUAAAUUAAAAAUAGCUGAGAAAAAUUGCUUCUGUGAAUUCUUAUACUGCGAAUAAAAAUAAGAGUUUGUGAGGCGCAUAAAUGUGUCCUUUUGCUGAAAGCAGAACACAACCAUUAUCCUGGCAAUGAUUUGUUGGAUCAAAAGGAGAGAUCAGUUAAGGGACUAGUUUGUAAUUUUUCAAGCUUGAGAAAUUAAAUUAUUAAAGGAAGUGAAUAGUUCAGUUCCACUUUUACUCAAGGAGAAACUCCCACUAAAGUCAGAAAAGGCAGUAAUGGGGAGCUUUUCUUGAAUGUGUGCAUAAUUCCAAGAGGAUCAGAUGGAUCUUCGGUGAUUAUUUUCUGGCAUGCCUAUAGAUGAAAUAACAGUGUAUGACUUUAAUACAGAACACAGAUUAUAGAACUGUGCAACAUUGCUAGUUUUCACUAUCCAGUCCUCUUCUGAAGUGAGGGACUGGCUUGUGUUUAAUGUCCUUUGUAUGCUUUGCAGUGAUACCAUUUCUCCAUCCUCUUAUUGACCCAAGCGUCCUCUGGGCAGAGCACUCGCAGAAUAUGGGAGACCUAGUUCAAAUUUCUUCACUAAUGUGAAGGUGGGAAUUGAACCAGGUCUUUGAUCUGUCUCUUGCACAUCCUCUACUGGUGUUAAAGCUGUUCCACUUCAUAUGAUAAUUAGUAUUCUUGGGACCAGAGAGAACUUGAAAGUGAUUCUAUAGUACAGUGACGAGGCACUCAUGAAGGUGCGAGAAGAGCUAGAUUUGAAUCUCUGUUCCACAUCUGGUACAUAGGGAUUUAAACCCCAGUAUACCAUAUCCUGAGAGCAUAUCACUUGGGCUACUGAUACAUUUCUCUGUUACUAUUUUCAUAUAGUUUUUGGUGUUUUAGAGCACAAUAAUAUCUGAGGACUUCCCCACUGAUAUAGAAAAUGAGAGCCAAGUUCUCUUAUUUAUGGUGGUGUAAAUCUGGUGUAGCUCCAUUGAUGGCCAGGAGAUUAUAGUACACCAAUGUGCUGAAGCAAGAAUGUGUCCUCAAAUGUGCACUUUUCAGACUGGCACUGGAAACAGUGUUCUUUAAAAAUACUUAUCUAUGUAUUCUCUCUCAUCGGUUCAGUGUUUUCAAAAAUCUAAAUGUCAGACCUGCUGAUUAUAGUGAGUUUUAACUCCUUCCCUUAGGAAAGAGUACAAGGUUGCUCAGAUUACAUGAGACUCAUAAAGAGGUGAACUAGAAAUCGAGUUGCACUUUGGACUUUCUUUGGACUUCUUUUUUGGUACGAAUGUCAGAUAAGUUUAGUUUCCCACUUGUUCUAUCUCAGAUAUAAUCUUGGCAAUAUCUCAGACAGAAAAACUUCAAAAACAGAUUGCAGAGAGAAACUGCUGAUCUAGAAUUCAUAUGGAAAUUUGACAGCCUCAACAAAGGUCUAAAUAAACAUAUGGAGCGGUUCUCGCAUUACAAUAGAUAACUUCCUAUUCAAGUUUUCCCACUUCUCACCACUGUUAGGGUACGUCUACA